rnacentral:rRNA from 1 species
UACUUAGUGGCAGACGGGUGAGUAACAUGUGGGUAUCUACCCUUUGGCCUGGAAUAACACGAGGAAACUUGUGCUAAUACCGGAUAAGUCUUUACGGAGAAAGCUUUAUGCACCAUUGGAUGAGCCCGCACUUGAUUAGUUUGUUGGUAGGGUAAUGGCCUACCAAGACUAUGAUCAAUAGCUGAUUUGAGAGGAUGAUCAGCCACAUUGGGACUGAGACACGGCCCAAACUCCUACGGGAGGCAGCAGUGGGGAAUCUUGCACAAUGGAGGAAACUCUGAUGCAGCGAUGCCGCGUGAGUGAAGAAGGCCUUUGGGUUGUAAAGCUCUUUCGUCGGGGAAGAAAAUGACUGUACCCGAAUAAGAAGGUCCGGCUAACUUCGUGCCAG